GUUUUAUUAAAAAAAUAUUUUCCUUGCUUUUUUUAUGGUGCAUUAGAAUCAUAAAUAAGGAAAAUUUGAAUUAUUUACAUAAAAUAUAACUUUCAUAACAUUUAUUGUUUUUUGCAACAAAAUAUGUUCAUUAAAAGUAAUUUAAGCAAGUAAUAUUAAAAAAAAAAUGAAUGAAGAAAGCUUUAGAACCAAUAUGAUGAAAGUUGCAAAAAAUUUGACAAAAGAAGACAUAAAAUACAUUAAGUUUAAAUAUAUCAGGAAAAUAGGUGAGGGUGUUCUUGAAAAGAUAGAUAGUGCAAUAGAAUUAUUGACCAUAUUAGAACAGCAAGGUUUCCUCAAUUAUAAUAAUUAUGAACCAUUUGCUAAACUACUUAUUCAAUUGGGCAAGCAAAAGUUAGUUAAAGAUUGUUUUCCUGCUGCAGUUAAGUCGA